UGGGGAAUAUUGCGCAAUGGACGAAAGUCUGACGCAGCGACGCCGCGUGUGGGAUGAAGCUCUUCGGGGUGUAAACCACUGUUGCCCGGGACGAACUUCUGGAUUUUUCCAGAUUGACGGUACCGGGUGAGGAAGCACCGGCUAACUCUGUGCCAGCAGCCGCGGUAAUACAGAGGGUGCGAGCGUUGUCCGGAAUCACUGGGCGUAAAGGGCGCGUAGGUGGCUCGGUAAGCGUGUGGUGAAAGCCUGGGGCUCAACCCCAGGUCUGCCGUGCGAACUGGCGAGCUGGAGCAGAGUAGAGGCGGGUGGAAUUCCGGGUGUAGCGGUGGAAUGCGUAGAUAUCCGGAAGAACACCGGUGGCGAAGGCGGCCCGCUGGGCUCUUGCUGACACUGAUGCGCGACAGCGUGGGGAGCAAACAGGAUUAGAUACCCCCGUAGUCC
rnacentral:rRNA from 1 species